UAAUGCGCUCACGAGUCUUAAGACAGAAUUUCCCUAACAAGAUGCCGUUGAUCAAACCACCCGGAGCUUUCUGAGGAAGACGAUCAUGACGACCUUGCCCUACUCCGACGUCGACUUCAGCUUGAGAGCAAUGGCCGGUCGGGCCGAGGGAUUCGGCCGGUUGGCCGUCGGCGGCCUCCAUGGACCUCUCUAUCACGUCACUUCUCUCUCAGAUGAUGGUCCUGGAUCGCUACGAGAAGGAUGCCGGAGAAAAGAGCCAUUGUGGAUAGUUUUUGAGGUUUCGGGUACCAUAUGCCUUUCAUCUUAUUUGAGCGUGUCAUCUCACAAGACAAUUGAUGGCCGAGGUCAAAGGAUAAAGCUCACUGGCAAGGGCUUGAGACUGAAGGAUUGCGAGAAUAUUAUAAUAUGCAACCUGGAGUUUGACGGUGGUAGAGGUCAUGAUGUUGACGGUAUCCAAAUUAAACCAAAUUCAAGGAACAUUUGGAUAGACCGCUGCAGCCUUCGUGAUUAUGAUGAUGGAUUGAUAGAUAUCACCCGCCAGAGCACCGACAUUACUGUUUCUAGAUGUCACUUUUCACAUCAUGAUAAGACUAUGCUUAUUGGAGCUGACCCCUCUCAUACUAUGGAUAGAUGCAUCCGUGUAACCAUCCACCAUUGCUUCUUUGAUGGCACACGGCAAAGGCAUCCUCGGGUACGGUUUGGAAAAGUUCAUCUGUACAACAAUUAUACCAGAAACUGGGGCAUAUAUGCUGUUUGUGCGAGUGUAGAAUCCCAGAUUUUCUCGCAAUGCAAUAUAUAUGAAGCAGGACAAAAGAAAAAAACGUUUGAGUAUUACACUGAGAAGGCAGCAGAUAAGGAGCAGGCAGUAUCUGGCUUAAUAAGUUCUGAAGGAGACUCAUUCUCGAAUGGUGCCCAAGCAUCGCUGCAAGCUGGGUUUGGAGAAUGUGGCGUUUUCCAUCCAAGUGAAUUUUACCCGAACUGGACAGUAGAAUCGCCUUCGGAUUCUCUGAAAUAUGUUCUCCAGAUAUGCUCAGAUCCGACAGAUAAUAUUCCAGAUCAUCAGGACCAAUCCUUAUCAGGACUCCCAAGUCUUUUUUCCCCACUUAGCAUAGCUAAAUAACUGUUGUAAAAUUCUCUAUAUGCAGGUAUAAGCUUCUUUGCAAUUGACACCUUUACUUUGUCCCGUAAUUUCCUGUCUGUUAUGACCCAUGAAGUCUGCUUCUGGUUUGCUUCUUCAAAGGUCGCAUUGAAUUUCCUGAAAACACCCUUCACUGCUGCUACAGAUGUUUCUGCAGAGUUGCUGUCAGGCAGCAAUGAGAAUACCUUAUUCCAAGCAAUUGCUUUGUAGCUCGAUGCGUACUGCUCGACUUUCCUACCAUGCCAAGAUAACCACUCAUGGCCGAGCAGGGAGUUAAGGUUGGUCAUUUUAACAUUUCCAACAACAAAGUUAAGAUUGUUCGCUAGGAAGAGGUAGGACAAAGAGACAUCCUUGUACUGCUGGGCUUUGGUGUAUAGUUUGCAUAGAAGAACUGGUAUGAGCCGUGCCACGUGGACUGGCACAGCUGGGGUCGGGCCAUCUUCUUGGCCUGGACUCUCAAAAUAUGACUCUGGCAUGGGAAAGUCAUUUGGCAGUAGGUGAUCAGAAAGAAUUUGAGAGAGGGUUUCUCUGUAAUUGAGAAGGUUGGAAAUGAAAGCCAUGACAGAUUGGGUCAGGGGAUGGACCCCGCCGCCAGGAACUGCCAUACUGGAAGAGUCAUUUCAAAUGGUGGACUCAAAUUCUGCUACAACGUUGUGGAUCGUCGUGCGAAGUCUAACUAACGAGGAGAGUGCUUGUAAGUUGACUGCUGAGGUGGACUCAUAGCUGAAUAUUGACCCAAUGUCUUGCCAGAGUUCAAACGUUGCUUCAUAGAGUUCCAUGAAAUGGUAGAUCUUUCCUGUCGAUGGUUUGUGUCUGGAUGCCAUUUCAGGGAAUCUGAAUAAAUUGAUUGCUCUUUCCUUGGUGAUGUCAGAGAACUAAGAUUCUCUGAUUGCGUGGGACGCUGAGAAAACAUGAUCACAGAGGAUUCUUUCCCCUCUGAAGAUUGUUUUCACUGCAACUUUCACUGCAACUUUCACUGCAGUUAGCCAGUUCUUGAUCAUGUGAUCAAGUGCUGGCCAGCUGAGUCUUUGAAUAUGGGCGGAUCUGAAUCGUUAGAUCCCAAGUUGAUGUAGAUUUUUAUCGGUAAUGGAGUUUCUGAUGAGUUUGUAAAUUUUGACGCACUCUCUACUAUAGCCAGAACUGAUUAUGCAAUCUGCUGUGGACUUAGGUUCGCCAUGGCAAAUUCUGAGAUGGGCACUGCUUCAGUGGUCAGCUCCUUAGAAUAUUCCUCCUCUAUUUCUCGAUCAAAUGUGCUUGAUCCCCCUGUGCAUCGGCCCAAGAUUGACUCUGGAUCCAGUUGGUUCUGGUUGGUGAACAGUGUAUGGUGGAAUUUUUUUUUCAAGCCUUUUCAUAGCGAUUUGCAUAAGGUUUUGAGCAAGCACGAGCUUAGCAGAAUUAGAGUUUGUAGAGAUUAAGAAAUCCAUGGCUCGAAGCAGGUCCUUGAUGGAUUUGAGAAACUGCAUGGAUUCUCUUCUGGUGUCAUGGAAGAGAGUGGGGACUGUGUUGUCCGAGUUGUUCAAGUCCCAUCUAGCGAUGAUGGACUCGGCAUUUUCUAUGUUCUCUUCCAUCAUGGACUCAGAGAAUGUUUGGCUAGGUGGGAAUUGAAUGUGAGGGCUUGGAAAAGUGUAAGAAGGAGAAAGUGGUUCGGACGAUGAGAUGAGAUUUGAUAUGCCUUUUCUUGGCAUGGCUGCGUUCUCUCUUUGGAGUUCCUAUGGUUGGCAUUUAGCCUUUCAGUUUUUCUCCUUUUCUUGUUGCUCACACAGAGA